AGAACGAACGCUGGCGGCAGGCUUAACACAUGCAAGUCGAACGCCCCGCAAGGGGAGUGGCAGACGGGUGAGUAACGCGUGGGAACAUACCCUUCGGUACGGAAUAGCUCAGGGAAACUUGGAUUAAUACCGUAUACGGCCGGGAGGCGAAAGAUUGAUCGCCGAAGGAUUGGCCCGCGUCCGAUUAGCUAGUUGGCGGGGUAAUGGCUCACCAAGGCGACGAUCGGUAGCUGGUCUGAGAGGAUGGCCAGCCACAUUGGGACUGAGACACGGCCCAAACUCCUACGGGAGGCAGCAGUGGGGAAUAUUGGACAAUGGGCGCAAGCCUGAUCCAGCCAUGCCGCGUGAGUGAUGAAGGCCUUAGGGUUGUAAAGCUCUUUCAUCAGGGACGAUAAUGACGGUACCUGAAGAAGAAGCCCGGCUAACUUCGUGCCAGCAGCCGC
rnacentral:rRNA from 1 species